GUUUUGUUUCCCCUUUUUCUACAGGGAUACAGUCAUGUGGAUUCUCCUUGUAAAACUCCAAGAACACAGGCUGACAUCACAUACCCUUUCUUAAUAAUUUUCCCACUCUCCUCAGUUCUUACUCCCUUUGGGACCAAAGGGACCACAUUAGCAGACACAGCCUGGUGGGUUCCACUAUCGGUUUUCAGGGUCAAGCUGCUGCCUCCACACUGAGGAUAGUGGAACCAGAAGAGCUCAAAGUCACAAACAGCAACAGAAACUAUGGGUCCUGGUCUGCUGGCACCUGAUAGAAAGAGAUGAGAUCCAUUCUUAAAUGGAACACUAACAGGAUGGCAUCUAAUGAAUGACUGAGACUUUAGUCAGACUGAGUGGAAACACUGGAGCCAAUCAGAGCUAUGUCUCAGAAGAAAUACACAAAUAUCCAGGAUGUCAUACCAAGGAGAGGAGUGAUUUGGGCUGCCUCUCCCUCCUCCACAGUAACCUCCCUCACCUAAGUGAUCUUGUCAAAAUGGGGUCUCAUUAUGUAGCCUCUGGCUGUCCCAGAACUUGCUUUGCAGACCAGACUGGCCUCAAACUCACGAAGUUCCACCUGCCUCUGCCCUUCAAGUGCUAG
rnacentral:lncRNA from 1 species